rnacentral:sRNA from 1 species
GCCCGUGCAGGGAAGGAUGAGAAGCUUCGACCAGGUUCGAUUCGAGCGCAGCGAGAAAGCGACCCGAAGGGUGAGGCGCGAAGCGACGAAUAAUCCUUCCCCCGCCACCA